GGAAGUGAAACAUCUCAGUACCCUUAGGAAAAGAAAUCAAUUGAGAUUCCCUCAGUAGCGGCGAGCGAACGGGGAUCAGCCCAUUAAGUUAUGUGUGUUUUAGUGGAACGCUCUGGGAAGUGCGAACGUAGAGGGUGAUAUUCCCGUACACGAAAGGGCACACAUAAUGAUGACGAGUAGGGCGAGGCACGUGAAACCUUGUCUGAAUAUGGGGGGACCAUCCUCCAAGGCUAAAUACUCCUGACUGACCGAUAGUGAACCAGUACCGUGAGGGAAAGGCGAAAAGAACCCCUGUGAGGGGAGUGAAAUAGAUCCUGAAACCGCAUGCAUACAAGCAGUGGGAGCACCUUCGUGGUGUGACUGCGUACCUUUUGUAUAAUGGGUCAGCGACUUAUAUUCAGUAGCGAGGUUAACCGUAUAGGGGAGCCGUAGAGAAAUCGAGUCUUAAUAGGGCGUUUAGUUGCUGGGUAUAGACCCGAAACCAGGCGAUCUAUCCAUGAGCAGGUUGAAGGUUGGGUAACACUAACUGGAGGACCGAACCCACUGUCGUUGAAAAGCCAGGGGAUGACUUGUGGAUAGGGGUGAAAGGCUAAUCAAGCCUGGUGAUAGCUGGUUCUCCCCGAAAGCUAUUUAGGUAGCGCCUCGGACGAAUACCAUAGGGGGUAGAGCACUGUUUCGGCUAGGGGGUCAUCCCGACUUACCAAACCGAUGCAAACUCCGAAUACCUAUGAGUACUAUCCGGGAGACAGACUGCGGGUGCUAACGUCCGUAGUCAAGAGGAAAACAAUCCAGACCGCCAGCUAAGGCCCCAAAAUCAUAGUUAAGUGGGAAACGAUGUGGGAAGGCAUAGACAGCUAGGAGGUUGGCUUAGAAGCAGCCACCCUUUAAAGAAAGCGUAAUAGCUCACUAGUCGAGUCGGCCUGCGCGGAAGAUGUAACGGGGCUAAAACUAUGUGCCGAAGCUGCGGAUGUAUACUUUGUAUACGUGGUAGGGGAGCGUUCUGUAAGCCGAUGAAGGUGUGUUGAGAAGCAUGCUGGAGGUAUCAGAAGUGCGAAUGCUGACGUGAGUAACGACAAAACGGGUGAAAAACCCGUUCGCCGAAAGACCAAGGGUUCCAGUCCAACGUUAAUCGGGGCUGGGUGAGUCGACCCCUAAGGCGAGGCCGAAAGGCGUAGUCGAUGGGAAAAUGGUUAAUAUUCCAUUACUUCUGUGUAAUGCGAUGAGAGGACGGAGAAGGCUAAAUCAGCCUGGCGUUGGUUGUCCAGGUGAAAGGAUGUAGGCAUGUAUCUUAGGCAAAUCCGGGGUACUCUAUGCUGAGAUCUGAUAGCAAGCUGUACUUGUACAGCGAAGUGGUUGAUGCCAUGCUUCCAGGAAAAGUCUCUAAGCUUCAGUUACACAGGAAUCGUACCCGAAACCGACACAGGUGGUCAGGUCGAGUAGACCAAGGCGCUUGAGAGAACUCUGCUGAAGGAACUAGGCAAAAUGGUACCGUAACUUCGGGAGAAGGUACGCUGUUGUUGGUGAUGGAACUCGCUUCCUGAGCUGACGACAGCCGCAGAAACCAGGCCGCUGCAACUGUUUAUUAAAAACAUAGCACUCUGCAAACACGAAAGUGGACGUAUAGGGUGUGAUGCCUGCCCGGUGCUGGAAGGUUAAUUGAUGGGGUUAGCGUAAGCGAAGCUCUUGAUCGAAGCCCCAGUAAACGGCGGCCGUAACUAUAACGGUCCUAAGGUAGCGAAAUUCCUUGUCGGGUAAGUUCCGACCUGCACGAAUGGCAUAAUGAUGGCGGCGCUGUCUCCAGCAGAGGCUCAGUGAAAUCGAAAUCGCUGUGAAGAUGCAGUGUACCCGCGGCUAGACGGAAAGACCCCGUGAACCUUUACUGCAGCUUGACACUGAACUUUGACCUUACUUGUGUAGGAUAGGUGGGAGGCUUUGAAGCUGGAACGCUAGUUCCAGUGGAGCCGUCCUUGAAAUACCACCCUGGUAAUGUUGAGGUUCUAACUCUGUCCCGUGAUCCGGGACGAGGACCGUGUCUGGUGGGUAGUUUGACUGGGGCGGUCUCCUCCUAAAGAGUAACGGAGGAGUACGAAGGUGCGCUCAGCGUGGUCGGAAAUCACGCGUAGAGUAUAAAGGCAAAAGCGCGCUUAACUGCGAGACCCACAAGUCGAGCAGGUACGAAAGUAGGUCUUAGUGAUCCGGUGGUUCUGUAUGGAAGGGCCAUCGCUCAACGGAUAAAAGGUACUCUGGGGAUAACAGGCUGAUACCGCCCAAGAGUUCAUAUCGACGGCGGUGUUUGGCACCUCGAUGUCGGCUCAUCUCAUCCUGGGGCUGAAGCAGGUCCCAAGGGUAUGGCUGUUCGCCAUUUAAAGAGGUACGCGAGCUGGGUUUAGAACGUCGUGAGACAGUUCGGUCCCUAUCUACCGUGGGCGCUGGAAAUUUGAGAGGAUCUGCUCCUAGUACGAGAGGACCAGAGUGGACGAACCUCUGGUGUACCGGUUGUGACGCCAGUCGCAUCGCCGGGUAGCUAUGUUCGGAAGGGAUAACCGCUGAAAGCAUCUAAGCGGGAAGCCUACCUCAAGAUAAGAUUUCCCUAGGACUUUAUGUCCUCUAAAGAGCCGUUCGAGACUAGGACGUUGAUAGGUUGGAUGUGGAAGCAUAGUGAUAUGUGAAGCUGACCAAUACUAAUUGCUCGUGAGGCUUGACUAU
rnacentral:rRNA from 1 species